rnacentral:tRNA from 1 species
GCCUGUUUGGCUCAGUGGAUAGAGUGUCAGCCUGUGGACUGAAGGGUGCUGGGUUCGAUUCCAGUCAAGGGCA